CCUACGGGUGGCAGCAGUGGGGAAUAUUGGACAAUGGGGGCAACCCUGAUCCAGCCAUGCCGCGUGUGUGAAGAAGGCCCUCGGGUUGUAAAGCACUUUCAGUGAGGAAGAACGCCUGGUGGUUAAUACCCAUCAGGAAAGACAUCACUCACAGAAGAAGCACCGGCUAACUCCGUGCCAGCAGCCGCGGUAAUACGGAGGGUGCGAGCGUUAAUCGGAAUUACUGGGCGUAAAGCGCGCGUAGGUGGCUUGAUAAGCCGGUUGUGAAAGCCCCGGGCUCAACCUGGGAACGGCAUCCGGAACUGUCAAGCUAGAGUGCAGGAGAGGAAGGUAGAAUUCCCGGUGUAGCGGUGAAAUGCGUAGAGAUCGGGAGGAAUACCAGUGGCGAAGGCGACCUUCUGGACUGACACUGACACUGAGGUGCGAAAGCGUGGGUAGCAAACAGGAUUAGAUACCCCGGUAGUC
rnacentral:rRNA from 1 species